AACGAACGCUGGCGGCAGGCCUAACACAUGCAAGUCGAACGCCGUAGCAAUACGGAGUGGCAGACGGGUGAGUAACACGUGGGAACGUACCCUUCGGUUCGGGAUAACUCAGGGAAACUUGAGCUAAUACCGGNUACGUCCGAGAGGAGAAAGAUUUAUUGCCGAGGGAUCGGCCCGCGUCUGAUUAGCUUGUUGGUGAGGUAACGGCUCACCAAGGCGACGAUCAGUAGCUGGUCNGAGAGGAUGAUCAGCCACAUUGGGACUGAGACACGGCCCAAACUCCUACGGGAGGCAGCAGUGGGGAAUAUUGGACAAUGGGCGCAAGCCUGAUCCAGCCAUGCCGCGUGAGUGAUGAA
rnacentral:rRNA from 1 species